rnacentral:rRNA from 1 species
UACAGGGGGGGCAAGCGUUGUUCGGAAUUACUGGGCGUAAAGGGUUCGUAGGUGGCCACCUAAGUCAGACGUGAAAUCCCUCAGCUUAACUGGGGAACUGCGUCUGAUACUGGGUGGCUUGAGUGCAGGAGAGGAAAGCGGAAUUCCACGUGUAGCGGUGAAAUGCGUAGAGAUGUGGAGGAACACCAGUGGCGAAGGCGGCUUUCUGGUCUGUAACUGACGCUGAGGCGCGAAAGCGUGGGGAGCAAACAGG